CCUUCGGUGGGGAAUAACAGUCGGAAACGGCUGCUAAUACCGCAUAAUGCAGCGGCUCGACAUCGAGACAGUUGUUAAAGCGGGGGAUCGCAAGACCUCGCGCUAUUGGAGCGGCCGAUGUCGGAUUAGCUUGUUGGUGAGGUAAAAGCUCACCAAGGCGACGAUCCGUAGCUGGUCUGAGAGGACGACCAGCCACACUGGGACUGAGACACGGCCCAG
rnacentral:rRNA from 1 species